rnacentral:rRNA from 1 species
GUGCCAGCCGCCGCGGUAAUACCGGCAGCUCAAGUGAUGUCCCAUAUUAUUGGGCCUAAAGCGUCCGUAGCUGGCCGACCAAGUCUCCCGAGAAAUCCACCCGCCCAACGGGUGGGCGUCCGGUAGAAACUGCACGGCUUGGGACCGGAAGGCUCGAGAGGUACGUCCGGGGUAGGAGUGAAAUCCCGUAAUCCCGAACGGACCACCGAUGGCGAAAGCAUCUCGAGAAAACGGAUCCGACAGUGAGGGACGAAAGCUAGGGUCUCGAACCGGAUUAGAAACCCGGGUAGUCC